AUUGAACGCUGGCGGCAUGCCUUACACAUGCAAGUCGAACGGUAACAGGUUAAGCUGACGAGUGGCGAACGGGUGAGUAAUGUAUCGGAACGUGCCCAGUCGUGGGGGAUAACUGCUCGAAAGAGCAGCUAAUACCGCAUACGACCUGAGGGUGAAAGCGGGGGAUCGCAAGACCUCGCGCGAUUGGAGCGGCCGAUAUCAGAUUAGGUAGUUGGUGAGGUAAAGGCUCACCAAGCCGACGAUCUGUAGCUGGUCUGAGAGGACGACCAGCCACACUGGGACUGAGACACGGCCCAGACUCCGACGGGAGGCAGCAGUGGGGAAUUUUGGACAAUGGGCGCAAGCCUGAUCCAGCCAUGCCGCGUGCGGGAAGAAGGCCUUCGGGUUGUAAACCGCUUUUGUCAGGGAAGAAAAGGUUCUGGCUAAUACCUGGGACUCAUGACGGUACCUGAAGAAUAAGCACCGGCUAACUACGU
rnacentral:rRNA from 1 species